rnacentral:lncRNA from 1 species
UAGUCUUUGCUGGUUGUCAUAGAAAUGCUCUAGAUUCCUUUGAUUCUGAUUUCUGAGAGUAAAUAUUGAGGAUCAUAUACCUCAUUUUCUUAAAGAGCUACUAGUGAAUGAAUAGAAAAUGUAAUUGAACUUUGAAGGUGUGACUGCAUUUCAGGUGACUCUUUAUGUUUUAUCUAUUUGAAGUUUCAGGUUUAUAAGAUCUUGUCUUCCUUCUUAGACCCAGUUAUGUUGAAAUUCGGAAUUUUGAUCAGUUGGAAAACUUCUUGUUUCUUCCUCGAUUGAAAAUACCAAGAUCUGAAGAAAGCAGUAGGUCCUGGUUCCACUUGUUUCUUCUAUUCUGUGUUCUUGUACGUUGUAACAUAAAUCACUUUUAUGAUUGGUGACCUUAUCGUUUCUGGAAUAUUUAUAAGAAAGAAAUAUUGUGGCUCAUAUUUAUCAUCGUGAGAUGAUUUCCUUACAUCAUGUUCUUUUUGCUUUUGUUUAUAUUCCUGAUUCUUAUUGCUCUGGGAAAGAUGCAGUUACUUGGAUCUUAUCUUUUCUCCAGUAGGUUGAUUUGUUUGAGACUUGGCAUAUUAGGUUCCCUUUCUGUAGCAAAGGUUUUUUGACGUUGGGCAUGGUGUCCAUGCUUAACAGAAAAGAUGUAUGUCUGUUGUUUCACUACCAGGCCACAUUCUUGCACUUGCAUGCAUCAAAGUAGCUUGAGGCAAUUGGAUGCUUUAGAUCAUUGGAUAAUUAUCCUACUGCUCUCAUUGGCCAUUCCGCUAAUUAAUAUAUUUUAACAAGUUAAGUGAAAUGGCAUUAGUGUCAGCAGGAGUAUCAUGUAUGUUAAAUGGAUUCUCUCAUUUAGUUCUCAACAUUUUUCUCUUCCCAUUCCACAGCAUCAUUUCAUCCUUCUAUGAUCAACUAAACCUGAUGACUAAUUAUAUUUCUUUUGCAGAGUAGAUUAAGUUGGAACUGGAUGAUUGUAUGUUGGACAGCUAUAAACUUCAAGCUAUGGUCCAAAUAUAUUCAGUUGGCAUCAUGCUUCGGGAUAAUGAUUUUGGUAUUGCUUGAACCAAAUCAGGUCACUAGAUUGCAGUAUAAAUUAUUUACGCCAGAAUUUUACAAAAAACUGUUUCAAUGAUUUCUUUGUAAGGUUUACAAGGGCUCUAGUUUAGAUCAAUAAAUUUCAACAUGUGAAUGGGUAUUGUUCCUGCUAUAAGAUGCAGAUUUUAUGCUAAGAUAGUUCAUGUAUAUUGCAUUAGACUUGAGGAAUGUAUAAAAUAAAAUGUUCAGGCUGUUAUAUACUUGAAAUUUUGAACCCAGAUUCAUAUGAUAUUAUUGUUAAUUUUUAAACUGAUUAUAGACCAUGUCUGUCGACUUACCC